rnacentral:rRNA from 1 species
GGGUUGUGAGGUUAAGCGACUAAGCGUACACGGUGGAUGCCCUGGCAGUCAGAGGCGAUGAAGGACGUGCUAAUCUGCGAUAAGCGUCGGUAAGGUGAUAUGAACCGUUAUAACCGGCGAUUUCCGAAUGGGGAAACCCAGUGUGAUUCGUCACACUAUCAUUAACUGAAUCCAUAGGUUAAUGAGGCGAACCGGGGGAACUGAAACAUCUAAGUACCCCGAGGAAAAGAAAUCAACCGAGAUUCCCCCAGUAGCGGCGAGCGAACGGGGAGCAGCCCAGAGCCUGAAUCAGUGUGUGUGUUAGUGGAAGCGUCUGGAAAGGCGCGCGAUACAGGGUGACAGCCCCGUACACAAAAAUGCACAUAUUGUGAGCUCGAUGAGUAGGGCGGGACACGUGGUAUCCUGUCUGAAUAUGGGGGGCCCAUCCUCCAAGGCUAAAUACUCCUGACUGACCGAUAGUGAACCAGUACCGUGAGGGAAAGGCGAAAAGAACCCCGGCGAGGGGAGUGAAAAAGAACCUGAAACCGUGUACGUACAAGCAGUGGGAGCACGCUUAGGCGUGUGACUGCGUACCUUUUGUAUAAUGGGUCAGCGACUUAUAUUCUGUAGCAAGGUUAACCGAAUAGGGGAGCCGAAGGGAAACCGAGUCUUAACUGGGCGUUAAGUUGCAGGGUAUAGACCCGAAACCCGGUGAUCUAGCCAUGGGCAGGUUGAAGGUUGGGUAACACUAACUGGAGGACCGAACCGACUAAUGUUGAAAAAUUAGCGGAUGACUUGUGGCUGGGGGUGAAAGGCCAAUCAAACCGGGAGAUAGCUGGUUCUCCCCGAAAGCUAUUUAGGUAGCGCCUCGUGAAUUCAUCUCCGGGGGGUAGAGCACUGUUUCGGCAAGGGGGUCAUCCCGACUUACCAACCCGAUGCAAACUGCGAAUACCGGAGAAUGUUAUCACGGGAGACACACGGCGGGUGCUAACGUCCGUCGUGAAGAGGGAAACAACCCAGACCGCCAGCUAAGGUCCCAAAGUCAUGGUUAAGUGGGAAACGAUGUGGGAAGGCCCAGACAGCCAGGAUGUUGGCUUAGAAGCAGCCAUCAUUUAAAGAAAGCGUAAUAGCUCACUGGUCGAGUCGGCCUGCGCGGAAGAUGUAACGGGGCUAAACCAUGCACCGAAGCUGCGGCAGCGACGCUUAUGCGUUGUUGGGUAGGGGAGCGUUCUGUAAGCCUGCGAAGGUGUGCUGUGAGGCAUGCUGGAGGUAUCAGAAGUGCGAAUGCUGACAUAAGUAACGAUAAAGCGGGUGAAAAGCCCGCUCGCCGGAAGACCAAGGGUUCCUGUCCAACGUUAAUCGGGGCAGGGUGAGUCGACCCCUAAGGCGAGGCCGAAAGGCGUAGUCGAUGGGAAACAGGUUAAUAUUCCUGUACUUGGUGUUACUGCGAAGGGGGGACGGAGAAGGCUAUGUUGGCCGGGCGACGGUUGUCCCGGUUUAAGCGUGUAGGCUGGUUUUCCAGGCAAAUCCGGAAAAUCAAGGCUGAGGCGUGAUGACGAGGCACUACGGUGCUGAAGCAACAAAUGCCCUGCUUCCAGGAAAAGCCUCUAAGCAUCAGGUAACAUCAAAUCGUACCCCAAACCGACACAGGUGGUCAGGUAGAGAAUACCAAGGCGCUUGAGAGAACUCGGGUGAAGGAACUAGGCAAAAUGGUGCCGUAACUUCGGGAGAAGGCACGCUGAUAUGUAGGUGAAGUCCCUUGCGGAUGGAGCUGAAAUCAGUCGAAGAUACCAGCUGGCUGCAACUGUUUAUUAAAAACACAGCACUGUGCAAACACGAAAGUGGACGUAUACGGUGUGACGCCUGCCCGGUGCCGGAAGGUUAAUUGAUGGGGUCAGCGCAAGCGAAGCUCUUGAUCGAAGCCCCGGUAAACGGCGGCCGUAACUAUAACGGUCCUAAGGUAGCGAAAUUCCUUGUCGGGUAAGUUCCGACCUGCACGAAUGGCGUAAUGAUGGCCAGGCUGUCUCCACCCGAGACUCAGUGAAAUUGAACUCGCUGUGAAGAUGCAGUGUACCCGCGGCAAGACGGAAAGACCCCGUGAACCUUUACUAUAGCUUGACACUGAACAUUGAGCCUUGAUGUGUAGGAUAGGUGGGAGGCUUUGAAGUGUGGACGCCAGUCUGCAUGGAGCCGGCCUUGAAAUACCACCCUUUAAUGUUUGAUGUUCUAACGUGGACCCGUGAUCCGGGUUGCGGACAGUGUCUGGUGGGUAGUUUGACUGGGGCGGUCUCCUCCUAAAGAGUAACGGAGGAGCACGAAGGUUGGCUAAUCCCUGGUCGGACAUCAGGAGGUUAGUGCAAUGGCAUAAGCCAGCUUGACUGCGAGCGUGACGGCGCGAGCAGGUGCGAAAGCAGGUCAUAGUGAUCCGGUGGUUCUGAAUGGAAGGGCCAUCGCUCAACGGAUAAAAGGUACUCCGGGGAUAACAGGCUGAUACCGCCCAAGAGUUCAUAUCGACGGCGGUGUUUGGCACCUCGAUGUCGGCUCAUCACAUCCUGGGGCUGAAGUAGGUCCCAAGGGUAUGGCUGUUCGCCAUUUAAAGUGGUACGCGAGCUGGGUUUAGAACGUCGUGAGACAGUUCGGUCCCUAUCUGCCGUGGGCGCUGGAGAACUGAGGGGGGCUGCUCCUAGUACGAGAGGACCGGAGUGGACGCAUCACUGGUGUUCGGGUUGUCAUGCCAAUGGCACUGCCCGGUAGCUAAAUGCGGAAGAGAUAAGUGCUGAAAGCAUCUAAGCACGAAACUUGCCCCGAGAUGAGUUCUCCCUGACCCUUUAAGGGUCCUGAAGGAACGUUGAAGACGACGACGUUGAUAGGCCGGGUGUGUAAGCGCAGCGAUGCGUUGAGCUAACCGGUACUAAUGAACCGUGAGGCUUAACCUUACAACGCCGAAG